rnacentral:rRNA from 1 species
GAUGAACGCUGGCGGCGUGCCUAAUACAUGCAAGUCGAGCGAACAGACGAGGAGCUUGCUCCUCUGACGUUAGCGGCGGACGGGUGAGUAACAUGUGGAUAACCUACCUAUAAGACUGGGAUAACUUCGGGAAACCGGAGCUAAUACCAGAUAAUAUAUUGAACCGCAUGGUUCAAUAGUGAAAGACGGUUUUGCUGUCACUUAUAGAUGGAUCCGCGCCGCAUUAGCUAGUUGGUAAGGUAACGGCUUACCAAGGCAACGAUGCGUAGCCGACCUGAGAGGGUGAUCGGCCACACUGGAACUGAGACACGGUCCAGACUCCUACGGGAGGCAGCAGUAGGGAAUCUUCCGCAAUGGGCGAAAGCCUGACGGAGCAACGCCGCGUGAGUGAUGAAGGUCUUCGGAUCGUAAAACUCUGUUAUUAGGGAAGAACAAAUGUGUAAGUAACUAUGCACGUCUUGACGGUACCUAAUCAGAAAGCCACGGCUAACUACGUG